rnacentral:rRNA from 1 species
UGGGGAAUCUUGCGCAAUGGGCGAAAGCCUGACGCAGCAAUACCGUGUGAGGGAGGAAGGUCUUCGGAUUGUAAACCUCUGUCGAUUGGGAAAAAUGGUUACGUUUCAAAUAGGUACGUAAUUUGAUGGUACCAAUGAAGGAAGCACCGGCUAACUUCGUGCCAGCAGCCGCGGUAAUACGAAGGGUGCAAGCGUUGUUCGGAAUUAUUGGGCGUAAAGCGCGCGCAGGCGGAAUGAUAAGUCAGAUGUGAAAUCUCGGAGCUCAACUCCGAACGUGCGUCUGAAACUGCCAUUCUAGAGUUGCGGAGAGGGUAGGGGAAUUUCACGUGUAGGGGUAAAAUCCGUAGAGAUGUGAAGGAACACCGGAGGCGAAAGCGCCUACCUGGACGCAUACUGACGC